GGGAAGAGCUCAAAUUUUGAAUCUGGCAGUCCGAAAGGCUGUCCGAGUUGUAAUCUAGAGAAGCGUCUUCCGCGUCGGACCCGUGUACAAGUCUCCUGGAAGGGAGCGUCAUAGAGGGUGAGAAUCCCGUCUUUGACACGGACGAACCGAGGCUAUGUGAUGCGCUCUCGACGAGUCGAGUUGUUUGGGAAUGCAGCUCAAAACGGGUGGUAAAUUCCAUCUAAAGCUAAAUACAGGCGAGAGACCGAUAGCGAACAAGUACCGUGAGGGAAAGACGAAAAGAACUUUGGAAAGAGAGUUAAACAGUACGUGAAAUUGCUGAAAGGGAAACGUUUGAUGUCAGUCACGUCGGCUGGGGGUCAAUCUGGCUUUCGAAUGAUUGCUGGGUGUAUUUCCUGGUCGACGGGUCAGCGUCAGUUUUCGUGCUCGUACAAUGGUGGAGGGAACGUGGCACUCUUUCGGGAGUGUGUUAUAGCCUUGCAUCGUAUGCGGUGGUGGGGACUGAGGAACUCGGCACACAAGUUUGUGCUUAGGAUGCUGGCAUAAUGGCCUUAAGCGACCCGUCUUGAAACACGGACCAAGGAGUCUAACAUGCCUGCGAGUGUUUGGGUGCCAAACUCGAGUGCGAAAUGAAAGUGAACGGUCGACACCUCUGUCGUGGAGGGCAUCGACGCCGGACUCGAGUCUCUGACAAGGAUCUGCGGUAGAGCAUGCAUGUUAGGACCCGAAAGAUGGUGAACUAUGCCUGAAUAGGGUGAAGCCAGAGGAAACUCGGUGGAGGC
rnacentral:rRNA from 1 species